rnacentral:rRNA from 1 species
CGAUACAGGGUGACAGCCCCGUACACAAAAGCGCAUGUGCUGUGAGCUCGAUGAGUAGGGCGGGACACGUGGUAUCCUGUCUGAAUAUGGGGGGACCAUCCUCCAAGGCUAAAUACUCCUGACUGACCGAUAGUGAACCAGUACCGUGAGGGAAAGGCGAAAAGAACCCCGGCGAGGGGAGUGAAAAAGAACCUGAAACCGUGUACGUACAAGCAGUGGGAGCACAGGUUUACCUGUGUGACUGCGUACCUUUUGUAUAAUGGGUCAGCGACUUAUAUUCUGUAGCAAGGUUAACCGUAUAGGGGAGCCGGAGGGAAACCGAGUCUUAACCGGGCGUUAAGUUGCAGGGUAUAGACCCGAAACCCGGUGAUCUAGCCAUGGGCAGGUUGAAGGUUGGGUAACACUAACUGGAGGACCGAACCGACUAAUGUUGAAAAAUUAGCGGAUGACCUGUGGCUGGGGGUGAAAGGCCAAUCAAACCGGGAGAUAGCUGGUUCUCCCCGAAAGCUAUUUAGGUAGCGCCUCGUGAACUCAUCUCCGGGGGUAGAGCACUGUUUCGGCUAGGGGGCCAUCCCGGCUUACCAACCCGAUGCAAACUGCGAAUACCGGAGAAUGUUAUCACGGGAGACACACGGCGGGUGCUAACGUCCGUCGUGAAGAGGGAAACAACCCAGACCGCCAGCUAAGGUCCCAAAGUCAUGGUUAAGUGGGAAACGAUGUGGGAAGGCCCAGACAGCCAGGAUGUUGGCUUAGAAGCAGCCAUCAUUUAAAGAAAGCGUAAUAGCUCACUGGUCGAGUCGGCCUGCGCGGAAGAUGUAACGGGGCUAAACCAUGCACCGAAGCUGCGGCAGCGACACUCAGGUGUUGUUGGGUAGGGGAGCGUUCUGUAAGCCUGUGAAGGUGUGUCGUGAGGCAUGCUGGAGGUAUCAGAAGUGCGAAUGCUGACAUAAGUAACGAUAAAGCGGGUGAAAAGCCCGCUCGCCGGAAGACCAAGGGUUCCUGUCCAACGUUAAUCGGGGCAGGGUGAGUCGACCCCUAAGGCGAGGCCGAAAGGCGUAGUCGAUGGGAAACGGGUUAAUAUUCCCGUACUUGGUGUUACUGCGAAGGGGGGACGGAGAAGGCUAUGUUGGCCGGGCGACGGUUGUCCCGGUUUAAGCGUGUAGGUGUGUGUUCCAGGUAAAUCCGGUCCACUUUAACACUGAGGCGUGAUGACGAGGCACUACGGUGCUGAAGCAACAAAUGCCCUGCUUCCAGGAAAAGCCUCUAAGCAUCAGGUAACAUCAAAUCGUACCCCAAACCGACACAGGUGGUCAGGUAGAGAAUACCAAGGCGCUUGAGAGAACUCGGGUGAAGGAACUAGGCAAAAUGGUGCCGUAACUUCGGGAGAAGGCACGCUGACACGUAGGUGAAGUGAUUUACUCA